AAACAUGUUAAUAUUACAAAACAAUAAAAAAAACAUAUAAUUGUGGAAAUUAAACCAUUGUCUACUAACAACAAUCAUUAAAGUUAUUAAUUAAAAAUAGGGGAAUCAAAAAACAUUCUAUUAUGAGAAACAUAACUAAUCAGUGAAGCUCCAGUGUCAAUGGCUUAAUGACCAUAUUAGCAUCAUCCAGCACCGCUGUUAACAUUAAAA
rnacentral:lncRNA from 1 species